rnacentral:miRNA from 1 species
GCCGUCGAAUAUCGACGUCAUAAACACCAAAGUUGAUCGUGUUUAUGACGUCGAAUAUCGACGUCAUAAACACCAAAGUUGAUCGUGUUUAUGACGUCGAAUAUCGACGUCAUAAACACCAAACUUGUUCGUGUUUACGACGUCGAAUAUCGACGUCAUCAACACCAAACUUGUUCGUGUUUAUGACGUCGAAUAUCGACGUCAUAAACAUCCAAGUUGAUCAUGUUUAUGACGUCGAAUAUCGACGUCAUAAACACCAAACUUGUUCGUGUUUAUGACGUCGAAUAUCGACGUC